GUGGACGGUGGACGACGACGGAGGGGCGCCCGUCCACGGCGCCACGCUCUAUUAUCGGCCAUCCGGGGGUGCGACGGUUGAGGAAAAGAUGAGUUCAACCCUUCACUCAGUGAAAAAUCUACGGUGUGGGACGCUCUAUCACUUCUUCGGCACCGUUUAUAACGCAAUUGGCAGCAGUGAGUCAUCAGAGGUGGUGGAGGCACGCACGAAGGGCCGCGCCCCUGAACCUCCCCCGCAGUUCCAGUUCAUCACGAGCAACAGCACCCAAGCGACGCUCUACCUCAC
rnacentral:lncRNA from 1 species